ACGAACGCUGGCGGCGUGCUUCACACAUGCAAGUCGAACGGAAAGGCCCUGCUUGCAGGGUACUCGAGUGGCGAACGGGUGAGUAACACGUGGGUGAUCUGCCCUGCACUUCGGGAUAAGCCUGGGAAACUGGGUCUAAUACCGGAUAGGAGCCAUUUUUAGUGUGAUGGUUGGAAAGUUUUUUCGGUGUAGGUUGAGCUCGCGGCCUAUCAGCUUGUUGGUGGGGUAAUGGCCUACCAAGGCGGCGACGGGUAGCCGGCCUGAGAGGGUGGACGGCCACAUUGGGACUGAGAUACGGCCCAGACUCCUACGGGAGGCAGCAGUGGGGAAUAUUGCACAAUGGGCGCAAGUCUGAUGCAGCGACGCCGCGUGGGGGAUGACGGCCUUCGGGUUGUAAACUCCUUUCGCUAGGGACGAAGCUUUUUGUGACGGUACCUAGAUAAGAAGCACCGGCUAACUACGUG
rnacentral:rRNA from 1 species